rnacentral:rRNA from 1 species
CCAGACUCCUACGGGAGGCAGCAGUGGGGAAUAUUGCACAAUGGGGGGAACCCUGAUGCAGCGACGCCGCGUGGGCGAGGAAGUAUUUCGGUAUGUAAAGCCCUAUCGGCAGGGAAGAAGAAAUGACGGUACCUGAAUAAGAAGCACCGGCUAAAUACGUGCCAGCAGCCGCGGUAAUACGUAGGGGGCAAGCGUUAUCCGGAUUUACUGGGUGUAAAGGGGGCGCAGACGGCGAUGCAAGCCAGGAGUGAAAGCCCGGGGCCCAACCCCGGGACUGCUCUUGGAACUGCGUGGCUGGAGUGCAGGAGGGGCAGGCGGAAUUCCUGGUGUAGCGGUGAAAUGCGUAGAUAUCAGGAGGAACACCGGUGGCGAAGGCGGCCUGCUGGACUGCAACUGACGUUGAGGCCCGAAAGCGUGGGGAGCAAACAGGAUUAGAUACCCCCGUAA